UUUGAUAUCAAUGGAAUAAGCUUAUAAACAGAACAAAAAGGUCGACUCUGACGUGAAGAGGAAAUAUUUGUUAGAGAGUGGAUAGACACAAGGGCGAAACAAAACGUACAGAACAGUUUUGUUGUAGAAUGUGAAACAGUUUAGGUACGAAACAAAAAAGUUGAUAGGAACGCAAAAAGUCAAUAUUUGAUGGAAACGAAAAACAUAAGCAGGUCUUCUAGUUUAACGUCAAAAGAGAGUUUUGAAUCAGCGAUUGAACUAAUAACAACUGACAGAAGCACAGAUGGAAAUGGUCGACAUUUUUUAGAUGAGAACCAGGAUAUUAAAGUUAAACAAAAAUCUGAUGGAAAGAAUAGUAAUGUAUUCAAAGACCACAAAUGUUGUUUGUUAAUUGCUACUAUCGUAUUUAUAGUGUUUCUGAGUAUCUUCAUCAUCACAAAUUACAAUCGCUGUGAGCCAACUCGUGAAUAUUCUUUUGUUUCCGGAAACUGCGCUAACUGUACAAAAGAAAAUAAAACAGAGGAAAAAGAAUAUCCUAGCAAAGAAGUCAAAGAUACAGAAUUUCAAGUUACACUUUGGGACACAUCGAUGACAGUUAUUAUACAAACCCAUGAAACGCUAUCUCUCCACCUCAGUCGAUAUGACGACAACACUACAAUGAUGAUAUGUAGAAAUAACAGAACGUCGUAUGAGCUCUUCUGUAACUCCCAAGCAAAACGUAAUUGCCAGUCUGUUCCUGUUCCUGUCAAUAAAUCAGUUACCAUCAGAAAUGAAACACAAGAUGAACAGAUCAUAUUUAACAUUGUGGCAAAAUGUAUAAAUCAAAAAGUUGGUAUCAAAUGGAUAAAUAUUUAGCCUGUAA